rnacentral:rRNA from 1 species
AAGAAAUCAACAGAGAUUCCCUUAGUAGUGGCGAGCGAACGGGGACUAGCCCUUAAGUGGCUUUGAGAUUAGCGGAACGCUCUGGAAAGUGCGGCCAUAGUGGGUGAUAGCCCUGUACGCGAAAAUCUCUUAGUCAUGAAAUCGAGUAGGACGGAGCACGAGAAACUUUGUCUGAAUAUGGGGGGACCAUCCUCCAAGGCUAAAUACUCCUGACUGACCGAUAGUGAACCAGUACCGUGAGGGAAAGGCGAAAAGAACCCCGGAGAGGGGAGUGAAAUAGAUCCUGAAACCGCAUGCAUACAAGCAGUGGGAGCCGACUUGUUCGGUGACUGCGUACCUUUUGUACAAUGGGUCAGCGACUUA